UAAUAUACUAUUUUAGUGUGGAGUGAAUGCCUUGGAAGAAAAAUAUAGGCGCGGACAAUCGCGAAAGUGUUGACACGAGGAAAGCCUGUGACGUCAACCAACCUAAAAUGGGAAACCGGGGCUAAAAAGCCCGCUGCUUAGGCAGUAUCAAGGGGAAGUGAAACAUCUCAGUACCCUGUAGACCAAAUCAACCGAGAUAUCGUUAGUAGUGGUGAGCGAAAGCGAUAAAAAGGCAAAACGAAAAUUUUAUUAUUAAGAAUGAAAAGAAGUUUUGUUUUUCAAUGAAAUUUCUACCUUAGAAGGUGUUAGUCCUGUAAUUCUUUUUUUUUUCGUGAAAGUAAGACGAGGCAAGUUUACCUUGUCUGAGUAUUGGGGGACCACCCUCAAAGCCUAUAGUUAUUUUUCUUACCGAUAGUGAACAAGUACCGUGAGGGAAAGGUGAAAAAGAAGUUGCGACAGUGCAAAGAUCCUGAAACUCCAUAUUUGAGUCGGAGCUAUAAAAAGCAACGGCAUACCUUUUGUAUAAUGGGCAAGUGAAUCUUAAUAAAGGGCAAGCUUAAGCUAAUAAAAGUGUAGGCGAAGAGAAAUCGAGUCCUAUGUGGCAUCCUAAAGUCCUUUGUUAAGUACCCGAAACCGGCUGAUCUAAACUUGAGCAGGCUGAUAUUGUAGUGGCAACAUUCUUUGGAGGGCCGAACCCGUGUAUGUGGCAAAAUACUGGGAUGACUUGAGUUUAGGGGUGAAAGGCCAAUCAAAGUCGGUGAUAGCUGGAUUUCUGCGAAAUCUAUUGAAGUAGAGCGUCCUAAACAGUAAAUCUGGGGUAGAGCACUGUAUAAGCAAGGGGGAGAUCUUCUCUUACUAAACUUUGGCAAACUCCGAAUACAGAUUUUUCAUUUAGGGCAGACAGAGUAUGUAUGCUAAGAUUCAUACUCAAGAGGGAAACAGCCCAGACUGUAGGCUAAGGUCCACAAAAUAGUUUCAGUGGUAAAGGUGAUAUCUGCUCUGAGACCGUCAGGAGGUAGGCUUGGAAGCAGCCAUCCUUUUAAGACAGCGUAACAGCUCACUGACCUAGAGUAGAAGUCCCGCCAAUUUUGAGGGCUUAAAACUAUUACCGAAGCCUCAGACAAAAAUGUUAAGAUAAUUAAAAACUCUUAUAUUUUGUGGUAGCAGAACAUUCCGUAGGUCGUAGAAGUUUUGACGUAAGUUAAGAUCAAGAUAUCGGAAGCGAGAAUACUUGCAUGAGUAGCAUAAAACAAUGAAAUUAAAGCAUUGUGGCCGUAAGUCCAAGGUUUACGAUCUUAAGUAAAACUGGGUCGUGAGAGGGUAACACCUCGAUUUAAAACGGUCCCUAAGCUGUUAAGCCAAAGCUUGCAGUAAUGGGUAAGAUUAAACUGUUAAAAGUUGCUGACGAAAAAUUCACCUUAUUCUUGAAUUUGUCAAGAGUUAGUUAUUUUUUCCAAGAAAAAGGCACUUUAUUUAUACCGUACCUUAAACCGCCUCAGGUGGACGGGUGGAGAACACUAAGGCCUUGAGAUAACCCUGUUGAAGGAACUCGGCAAAAUGACUCUGUAACUUCGGAAUAAGGAGUAAAGACAUGUAGCGCAAGCUUUUGUCUUUGUCACAAAAUCGGGGGUGGCGACUGUUUAUUAAAAACACAGGUCUCUGCUAACUCGCAAGAGGAUGUAUAGGGACUGACACCUGCCCGGUGCCGGUAGGUGAAGCUUUGAUGUUUACGCAUUGAGGUCAAACCCCGGUAAACGGCGGCUGUAACUAUGACGGUCCUAAGGUAGCGAAAUUCCUUGUCGGGUAAGUUCCGACCCGCAUGAAUGGUGUAACGACUUCCCCGCUGUCUCCAACAGGGACUCAGUGAAAUUACAUAGGUCGUGAAGAUGCGACCAUCCCACAGCUGGACGGAAAGACCCCGUGCACCUUUACUAUAAGCAAAUAUUGUAGGUCAAAGACUCUAGUGUAGAAUAGGUGGGAGCUUAUGAUUCUUUCUCGUCAGAGUCUGAUGAGGCGAUAGUGAAAUACCACCCCGAGAUCUGUUGGCUUACUAACUAAGGGACAGUGUUUGCUGGGUAGUUUGACUGGGGCGGUCGCCUCCUAAAGAGUAACGGAGGCAUACAAAGGUAGGUUCAUCUCCUUCUAAGGGGAAUUGAGUAUAAUGGUAUAAACCUGCUUGACUGAAAGAAAGACAUUUCGAUCAGAGACGUAAGUCGGUCAUAGUGAUCCGGUGGUUCUUUGUGGAAAGGCCAUCGCGCAAUGGAUAAAAGGUACGCCGGGGAUAACAGGCUAAUGAUCCUCUAGAGCCCCUAUCGACGGGUUCGUUUGGCACCUCGAUGUCGACUCAUCACAUCCUGGAGCUGGAAAAGGUUCCAAGGGUUCGGCUGUUCGCCGACGAAAGUGGUACGUGAGUUGGGUUUAGAACGUCGUGAGACAGUUUGGUCCCUAUCUUCUGUGGGUGUUUGAAAAUUCCGAGGACUAGACCUUAGUACGAGAGGACCGGGAAAACUCGAUCCCUUGUGUUCCGGUUGUUCCCUAAGGGGCAUCGCCGGGUAGCUACAUCGAGAAGAGAUAAUCGACCGUUAGGCGAGAAACUCUCCUCUAGUAAAGUUUUCUAAAGGGGGUGGAAGAUUACCACUUUGAUAGGCGGGAGGUGUAAGAGCUGUAAGGUUUUCAGCUGACCCGUACUAAUCCCUAUAAAAAUAAAAUUAUAUAGUUUUUGC
rnacentral:rRNA from 1 species